rnacentral:lncRNA from 1 species
CUGCAGGUCCCGAUAAGUAUCGUUAGAAACCACAAUGCCAUCAGACUCAUGUGCCAGCUUCACAAUGAAUCGAUCAUCAUAGCAGACAACACGUUUGCCCCCAACCCGUCUGGAAGGAGUGAAGACCAGAAUCUUCUUCUUUUCCAGGUCACGAAGAAUGUACUGAUCUGUUAUAAGUACAUCUGGUCGUGGCUGCUCCUUCCUCCAAGAUGGCACAAACACUGUAAUAU